rnacentral:tRNA from 1 species
GCCUCCUUAGCUUAGUGGUAGAGCAGCUCAUUCGUAACGAGCAGGUCGUGGGUUCAAAUCCCAUGGGAGGCU